rnacentral:misc_RNA from 1 species
GAAAAAGUUAUGGAUAAGGAGAUCGAUGCUCAGAAUCAGAGAGUUGUAGAGACAGUAAUUACAAUCAGAUUGGAUGAAACUGUUGAAAAUAGGGACUCUGGGAUUGGUGGGAAUGAGGUGAAAGGGAAGGUUUUGAAGAAAGAGAGUUUUUCAAGUGUGAUUGAUGUGAAAUAUGUUGAUGAUUUCGAAAAGGUGUGUAGGAUAUGCCAUUUGGAUACAUAUGAAAGUGGGAAGAAAUUUGUGGAUUUGAUUGAGAUUGGUUGUGGGUGUAAAGGGGAG